rnacentral:rRNA from 1 species
ACGUACCUUUUGGUUCGGAACAACUGAGGGAAACUUCAGCUAAUACCGGAUAAGCCCUAACGGGGAAAGAUUUAUCGCCGAAAGAUCGGCCCGCGUCUGAUUAGCUAGUUGGUAGGGUAAUGGCCUACCAAGGCGACGAUCAGUAGCUGGUCUGAGAGGAUGAUCAGCCACAUUGGGACUGAGACACGGCCCAAACUCCUACGGGAGGCAGCAGUGGGGAAUAUUGGACAAUGGGCGCAAGCCUGAUCCAGCCAUGCCGCGUGAGUGAUGAAGGCCCUAGGGUUGUAAAGCUCUUUUGUACGGGAAGAUAAUGACGGUACCGUAAGAAUAAGCCCCGGCUAACUUCGUGCCAGCAGCCGCGGUAAUACGAAGGGGGCUAGCGUUGCUCGGAAUCACUGGGCGUAAAGGGUGCGUAGGCGGGUUUUUAAGUCAGAGGUGAAAUCCUGGAGCUCAACUCCAGAACUGCCUUUGAUACUGAAAGUCUUGAGUAUGGGAGAGGUGAGUGGAACUGCGAGUGUAGAGGUGAAAUUCGUAGAUAUUCGCAAGAACACCAGUGGCGAAGGCGGCUCACUGGCCCAUAACUGACGCUGAGGCACGAAAGCGUGGGGAGCAAACAGGAUUAGAUACCNUGGUAGUCCACGCCGUAAACGAUGAAUGCCAGCCGUUAGUGGGUUUACUCACUAGUGGCGCAGCUAACGCUUUAAGCAUUCCGCCUGGGGAGUACGGUCGCAAGAUUAAAACUCAAAGGAAUUGACGGGGGCCCGCACAAGCGGUGGAGCAUGUGGUUUAAUUCGACGCAACGCGCAGAACCUUACCAGCCCUUGACAUGUCUAUGACCGGUACCAGAGAUGGAACCUUCCCUUCGGGGCAUAGAGCACAGGUGCUGCAUGGCUGUCGUCAGCUCGUGUCGUGAGAUGUUGGGUUAAGUCCCGCAACGAGCGCAACCCCCGUCCUUAGUUGCUACCAUUUAGUUGAGCACUCUAAGGAGACUGCCGGUGAUAAGCCGCGAGGAAGGUGGGGAUGACGUCAAGUCCUCAUGGCCCUUACGGGCUGGGCUACACACGUGCUACAAUGGCGGUGACAAUGGGAUGCAAAGGGGCGACCCCUCGCAAAUCUCAAAAAGCCGUCUCAGUUCGGAUUGAGCUCUGCAACUCGAGCCCAUGAAGUUGGAAUCGCUAGUAAUCGUGGAUCAGCAUGCCACGGUGAAUACGUUCCCGGGCCUUGUACACACCGCCCGUCACACCAUGGGAGUUGGUUCUACCUGAAGGCAGUGCGCUAACCCGCAAGGGGGGCAGCUGACCACGGUAGGGUCAGCGACUGGGGGAAGUC